rnacentral:rRNA from 1 species
UACGUAGGGCGCAAGCGUUGUCCGGAAUUAUUGGGCGUAAAGAGCUCGUAGGCGGCCUGUUGCGUCCGCUGUGAAAUCCCGGGGCUUAACCCCGGGCCUGCAGUGGAUACGGGCAGGCUGGAGGCAGGCAGGGGAGAACGGAAUUCCCGGUGUAGCGGUGAAAUGCGCAGAUAUCGGGAAGAACACCAGUGGCGAAAGCGCUCUACUGGGCCAUAACUGACACUGAGGGACGAAAGCUAGGGGAGCGAAAGGG